rnacentral:lncRNA from 1 species
CCUGCACAUCAGCCCGCGCUGAAUGAACCGCUGCAGUUCUACAACAAGAACAACCGGGGAAGGGAAACACAGUCUUUGAGGAGAAUGAACAACUACAAUCAUGAGGACCAACGGAUCAGACACGUACCUCAACCAUCUUGCCGGCGGCGCCGUCUCCAUGACGAACCACGACGGCCUCCUGCUCUCCUCCAUCUCCCCAGCUGCUCAAGCCCACCGCGACCAAUCCGAUGCUUCUUGUCCUCGGCACCUAUCUCCCCUGCUCCUUGCAAUGGUGGCGGCAUGGGAGAGAGAGAGAGAAGGACAAGGAGGAGGAGAGGUGGCGGGGCGAAGAUCUGCGCCCGAUGCAGAAUCAUGGCGCGCGGCGCGUGAUGCCGGCGACCUGCGCCCGACCCGGCUGGACCGAGAACUGUCACACCCGCUACUGCACCUCGAGCGCCG